rnacentral:rRNA from 1 species
CCUACGGGAGGCAGCAGUGAGGAAUAUUGGUCAAUGGACGAGAGUCUGAACCAGCGAAGUAGCGUGAAGGAUGACUGCCCUAUGGGUUGUAAACUUCUUUUAUAUGGGAAUAAAAUGUUCCACGUGUGGGAUUUUGUAUGUACGAUAUGAAUAAGGAUCGGCUAACUCCGUGCCAGCAGCCGCGGUAAUACGGAGGAUCCGAGCGUUAUCCGGACUUCUUGGGUUGAACGGGAGCGUAGGUGGAUCGUUAAGUCAGUUGUGAAAGUUUUCGGCUCAACCGUAAAAUUGCAGUUGAAACUGGCAGACUGGAGAACAGGAGAGGUGGGCGGAACUCGAGGUGUAGCGGUGAAAUGCUUAGAUAUCACGAAGAACUCCGAUUGCGAAGGCAGCCCACUGGACUGCAACUGACACUGAGGCUCGAAAGUGUGGGGAGCAAACAGGAUUAGAUACCCCUGUAGUC